rnacentral:rRNA from 1 species
UCGGGAAUUUUGGGCAAUGGGCGAAAGCCUGACCCAGCAACGCCGCGUGAGGGAUGAAGUAUUUCGGUAUGUAAACCUCGAAAGAAUGGGAAGAAUAAAUGACGGUACCAUUUAUAAGCUCCGGCUAACUACGUGCCAGCAGCCGCGGUAAUACGUAGGAAGCAAGCGUUGUUCGGAUUUACUGGGCGUAAAGGGCGCGUAGGCGGCGCGGUAAGUCACUUGUGAAAUCUCUGAGCUUAACUCAGAACGGCCAAGUGAUACUGCUGUGCUAGAGUGCGGAAGAGGCAACCGGAAUUCUUGGUGUAGCGGUGAAAUGCGUAGAUAUCAAGAGGAACACCUGAGGCGAAGGCGGGUUGCUGAGCCGACACUGACGCUGAUGCGCGAAAGCCAGGGGAGCAAACG